GCCAGCAUAGUGUAAUGGUUUGAGUGUUAGACUAUGACUCUGGAAACCAGUGUUCAAAUCCCUGCUUGCC